UUUAUUCCUUUAAAAUAGAGGCUCUGCUCCUGUAUGGUGUGUGUGUGUGUGUGUGUGUGUGUGUGUGUGUGUGUGAGAGAGAGAGAGAGAGAGAGAGAGAGAGAGAGAGACCUUGAAACAGUCUUCUGUCUUAACAUACAUUCCUUUCAUUUCAAAUCUGCAAACCAAUUAAAUUUUCAGUGGGAGCCUCUGCAGUGCAGUAGGGGCUGGUGGGGAGCAACCAAGGAAGGAUCAGGCCUGUGACUCGGAGGUUUGCUCCACAUUUCACCUCCUGCGACCAGAGGUGAGAACUUUUCCCAUUUCUAACCUGCAGCUACAGACUUGGCACAUUGCAAAUCUCCCAAGGGAUGUGGCAGAGUCUUAUGGCAUGCCUGCAGUUUUAGGUGGGAUGAACUAGCUUUCUGACCCAAAUGCACCAAUGUUCUGUCAGCUCCCACCUCAGGGUCAUUACGACAUAACAAUCAGAGUUUAGCAUAGGCAACUGAUUGUCACACACAGUUGUCCUAAGCAAAGUCCUCCUCCAGCUCUGUCAUUCUACAGUGGAAGUAUAUUGGGUCGAGUGAACUCAGAUUAUGCUGAAUCAAUCAUGUGAACUUCUCCUCCAGAAGCACAAGCUGUCAUUUUGCUCACCUUUCGUGUCUCCCUUAAUUGUGGAAGUUGUGGGUUUUUGUGCUUAUGACGAGGUGUUAAUGCAACUGGUGUAAACAUGUCUGUUUUUGAAGCUGCUCUGAAAGCGGGCAACCCAAGCAUUAAUGAAUUAGAUCACCCAGUAGCCUCAAGUUAUUUAAGAAGGCCUGCUAAUUUCACUUUGUGACAGUUGUGCACAGUUGUGAUCCUGGCUGUGACACAUUCUCUUCAAAAAUAAUGCCCUCAGCUAGUGGUGCUUCUGCCUGACAGCCAAAAACAAGAGCAAAUGGGGUGUUGGAAUCUACAACUUCCCUGGUUUCUAAACGUCCUGGUGCUGUGCGGGAAGCCUCAGAAGUCAGGAACCCAGUAGCAGCUGCAAGGAUGCUGGUCCCAGAACAUGAUGUUGAGAUUUCUCAAAUAGAGAUAGUUUCUCCCAGCAUGCUGAGCUGUUGGAUUCUCU